AUUGAACGCUGGCGGCAUGCCUUACACAUGCAAGUCGAACGGUAACGCGGGGCAACCUGGCGACGAGUGGCGAACGGGUGAGUAGUGCAUCGGAACGUGCCCAAUAGUGGGGGAUAGCCCGGCGAAAGCCGGAUUAAUACCGCAUACGACCUAUGGGUGAAAGCGGGGGAUCGCAAGACCUCGCGCUAUUGGAGCGGCCGAUGUCAGAUUAGGUAGUUGGCGGGGUAAAGCCCACCAAGCCUGCGAUCUGUAGCUGGUCUGAGAGACGACAGCCACACUGGGACUGAGACACGG
rnacentral:rRNA from 1 species